rnacentral:lncRNA from 10 species
AUGAGGAAAACUGAGGCUUAGAAACAGUUAAGUGGCCCGUCCCAGAUCACAUGGCCGGCAUUAGAAAUGCAGUGAUAAGGAAGAAAGAGACUCUUCCAUGGAGAAAGACAACAUGUGGCAGAUAAAUAAAAGGGUUUGUAUUCCGAGGCUCAGUUGUCUGGGGCACGAGUGCUUGAAGGAGAAGAGAAGAGAAAAGCACACUGGAAUGCUUGCAUACGUGCUCCGGCAAGUUUGCAUCUGACUCUCAAGGCUGUUUCGUCACCUGAUCUCCCAGUGACUCUGAGAUGUGUGAUGAGUCCAGCUCAAGGAGUGGGGAGCUCAGGGGCAUGCCCACUGCCACUCAGCAGGAGAAACACAGUGAAGGAGAGGAGAGAAGGAAGAAAACAACAGAGAUGGAGAGAAGCACGACGUGGGGUGGUGAGGAGUUCCCAGGACUCUGGGAGCGAGGAGCCCAGUCUAAUC